GCUCCUCACAGGUGCAGUCCGGUAAAUCCAGUAUGAGAUCUGAGGUACCAGCGAAACCCGCCCUUCUGCUCCCCACCCCUCCUCCUGAUGAACACAGGGGGCGGGACGUGAUACUGGAAGAAGAAAACACAACAUGACCUGUCUAUUACUCUCUCUCUCUCCGUGUGUGCGUGUGUGUGCUGCUCCAUACUCCAGUGGACAGAUUCAUAUUACUCCUCCUUUGCUUUUGCUGGCACAAGGACAGAAAGGAUAAUACUCUGUUCUAAUGUCAAAUCACUUUUACUUACAUCAUACUGAUAGCCUGGUGAAUAUAAAAUGUUAUAUUUCAGAGAAAAACUCAACUAGUGCAAACAACGCACUUUUAACCAGUGUGGAAACACCAAGACAGAAAUAAAGAGUGUAUUAGACAACCAGCUGUAACAACCAUAAGUUAUGUUCCAAUCAUAUAAUGUUAGAGCACAAUAGUGCAGUGCUGUGACAAAGCAUUUGCACCCUUUAUAAAUAUGCAUAGUUUUAUGCAUAUUGGGUACAUGUUUCAGAUCACCAAACACAUUUUACUAUCAGACAAAGAUGAGAACAUUCAAAAUGCAAUGUUUAAAUUAUGAUUUCAUGAUUUUCAAUCAAAGAAGGCUAUCCAGACCUACCUGACCCUAUGCAAAACAGUAGCUCCCCCAUAAACCUGAGUGUGCUGCACUCAGCAGCUGAACUGCAAUCAAGUGUUUGUGGUAACUGGCAGUGAGUCUUUCACAUAGCUGUGGAGGAGUUUUGGCCUCUUUUUUGUUGAAUUGUUUUAAUUCAACCACGUUGGAUGGUUUUCUAGCAUGAGGUCAUGUUAAAAAGCAUCUCAGUCUGAUUUAAUUCAUUUGAUCAUUGGUUUUUUGAGCCAUUCAGAGGUGGACCUACUAUAUGUGUGUGGAUCAUUGUCCUGCUGCAUAACCCAAAUGUGCUUGUGCUUCAGUUCAUGAACUGGUGGAAGAACAUUCUCCUUCAGGAUUUGCUGGUAGAGAGCAGAAUUCAUGCUUCAUCAAUUACAUCAAGUCAUCCAGGCCCUGAAGCAGCAGAGCAGCCGCAGACCAUCACACUACCACACCACCAUGUUUAUCUAUUGCCAAGUAGGACCAGAUGAGAAUGCUAUUUGACACCAAAGGCUACAGUAAGGACACUUCGCCGAUGUCUCUCUAGUGUGAAUUGAAGCAACGGGUGACCUGGUGGGAUUCUGUAACAACAUGGAAUCCCUGAAGAUGACAAAGAAGGACUUUAGGGCAAAAUGUGUAAGUGGCUGGUGAUUAGUUCCUCACAGGAGCUAGCAGAACUCAGCUGGAAAGAGGGUGCUGCAGCAAAAUCCUCCUUGUGAGAAUCCUCCAUCCAUGAGAAUCCUCCAUCUGGUCUCUACACUCAUCACACCUGUUACCACCACUUGAUUAAAUGCAUUACUGCAAGAGAAAAAUUUAUUAAGAUACAUCUUCUAAAUUGCAAACUUUAUUUUGUUAGGUUGUGUUGACUGAAUAAUUUUGAGAAACUCCAUCAACUUAAUUUUUUAUUUAAUUUGAAAUUAAAUCCCAAUUUUAAUGGGUUUAAAGUGAAAUUCAAGGUGCAGUUAAUUAAAUCAGGUAGAUAAUGUGUUGCAUGUUUAAGGUAAGUAACAUUUGUUUUACAAAUAACAGUUCUACUAAAGCAAUGUUAUGAGCAGUAGUGGAUUUGUUUAUGAUGUUACGCUCAUGUUACAAAUGUACCAUACCACAUGUAAGUAAUGCUAAUAUUUAACAUGUAUAUAGUCAUUCUGAACUUUAGCAUAGAAGUGGAUAAUACUUAUGAGAGCAAAGCACGAUUAAAACGUUGCUUUUUAAUUAUAUCUAAUUUCAGUCACAGACUCUUUUUUGUUGUUUGUGUGUUUAAAAGUUAGACGCCUUCAAACUGUGAAUACUUCUGUGAGAAGGAUACCUGCUACAUGAUAUUACGUUGUAAAUGAUUUUGGUUACUGUUGCGAAACAGCUACGUAUUGUUCUUGAUCUUAAGAGCUGUAUGUAUCAUUAUUACUUUUUUAACACAUCAAGUUUUGUGAAAUAUUGUUGAUAUGAUUUUGGCAGUAGCAUUCUGGCAUACACUAUGUGAAUGCCAGGACAUUAAGACUUUACGUAAGCAAUUUGCGCAUAGAUAAACAUUAUUUAAUAUUUUAAAAAAUAUAUUAAAUUAUAACUGUGGUGGAUUAUCUGUCUGCAGUUUUAAGCAAGUUUAAAUUGUGAAGCCUGACAUUUGUUUGUAAUAAGGGUUAACGUUUCUUACAGCAAUUUUUCUGUAUGUGUUGUCUACAGAUAAAAGAAGAGUUCAAGAGAAUAACCACUGUAAGCUUUGAAUCUACCUUCAUGGCUAAACUUGACCAUUGGACCCAAAAACUGAUGGAUGCAGUUUCAUCAAGGGGAGGAGCUAAAGGAGUGAGAGUCAGGCAGGUUCCUGAGCUAUGAUGGCAUUUGAAACAACUUUUCCUAGAUUAUGAAGUGUCUGUGUUUUUCUCAUCCACUUAAUUUAAACUCCACGCACCCAGUCAAAGAAGAAGUCCAGACCACAAAAAGUCAUCACAGAUUCAUUUUGUUGGACAGUGAUUGCUUAAGAUAUGCAGUUUGAAAUCAAACCUGUACAAGUGAUACAUUUCCUGGCCUCUGGAGGGCACCAACACCUCAACUAAACAACAGAGGUGGACUUUGAAGUGGUCAUGUAUUUGUUUGCUUCUUUUGCUUCUUUUGUUGGUUAUGAGUCCAGAUUGUACACCAUGGUUUUUCUCCAUGUACAGCACUUCUGUCUCUCUCCAGCAUAUCUGCCUACCUGUGUUCCUGUAUUUUAAAAAAACUGCUUUGAGAUGUAUUUAAGAUUUGUAUGUCUCUCUGGUCCAGGAACUAAGGUUCCAAGGAAGUCUGUUCUGUGUCUGUGCACUACCUUCAAUAGAGGUCCUGUUUGAGCACAUUGGCAUGGACCUCAUUGAGCUGUUUCACUGGAGUGCACAAGGUUAUCACAUUGUAUUAGUUUUGGUGGAUUAUGCAACUCAAUAUCCAGAAGCAGAAUGCAGCUAAAAAAGUUACGACUCUGAGUUAAGCAAAAUAAAGUUGAAGGGACUGUAAAUAAACAUUGAUUGCAGGUGUGCAGUUGGGUCAUUCUACUACAAGAUCAUAGUAGCAUACAGAGCACUGACUGAAAUGAAAUAUUUUGAGAUGAACAAGGUUUUUCAUGUUUUUCUACAUUUAUGCAUAAAUAUUAGGUAAGAUAUAAUCAGAUAUUAACACAUCCUAUAAGUAAAUAAAGAUGUAUUCUGUCAAAUCCUAAGUAUCAUAAUCAGUCCUGAGUCCUUUUUUCCUUCAGCUACACUGAUAGUGAAUUCAUGCAAUCAAUUCCCUAGAUAUGCCUUCAGUGCAAUCCAGUCUGUUCUUAGCAUUGAUUCUUACUUUUGGAACUGGAUAGCUGAAACAAAUCACUCUGUAACAGAUGGUGAAGGUCAAGGGCCGAGGGUUCU